GAUGAACGCUGGCGGCGUGCCUAAUACAUGCGAGUCGAGCGAACAGAUAAGGAGCUUGCCCCUUUGACGUUAGCGGCGGACGGGUGAGUAACACGUGGGUAACCUACCUAUAAGACUGGGAUAACUUCGGGAAACCGGAGCUAAUACCGGAUAACAUUUGGAACCGCAUGGUUCUAAAGUGAAAGAUGGUUUUGCUAUCACUUAUAGAUGGACCCGCGCCGUAUUAGCUAGUUGGUAAGGUAACGGCUUACCAAGGCGACGAUACGUAGCCGACCUGAGAGGGUGAUCGGCCACACUGGAACUGAGACACGGUCCAGACUCCUACGGGAGGCAGCAGUAGGGAAUCUUCCGCAAUGGGCGAAAGCCUGACGGAGCAACGCCGCGUGAGUGAUGAAGGGUUUCGGCUCGUAAAACUCUGUUAUUAGGGAAGAACAAAUGUGUAAGUAACUGUGCACGUCUUGACGGUACCUAAUCAGAAAGCCACGGCCAACUACGUG
rnacentral:rRNA from 1 species